AAAAGUUGAGUUGAGUUGAGUUGAAGGAAAUCCAAUGGCUACAAGAGAAGCAAAGAUGUUUGAGGAUGUGGUUCCAUUUCUAAUUGGAGCAACUGCUGCCAUGAUUAAGCAACUCGGAGGAUAAAUUCGGAAUUGCCACCAGUAGAAGGAAGAUUUCGAGACAUGAUGAGGUGAGAUUUACCAUUUGCAAGAUUGUUUCUAAUGAACUUGCUAGUAUUCGCUAGGCCGUUUUCAUGCAAGUAACAACUCUUGUAGAAGCAUGGAGAAGCUUCCCAAUUGAAGAAAGGCAAAAUUUUCCCAGCUCCUAAGGAAUUCUCAGUUUGAAGGUUGGUGAGGGG
rnacentral:misc_RNA from 1 species